ACAGCUGAAGAUUGAACCUCUGUACUCUUUACAUUACUCCACUCUGAUCCAGGAAGGAACCUUGAAUAGAUUUGGUCUAUCAGCCAGUAGAGAGUUCAGGCAAGGAGUUCCAAAUGGACCUCAGAAGGACUCUUUCUAAUUCACUUGGCUUCUCA